GCCUGGCAAAGUCACAGGAAGUAUCUCCAUGGCACCGCAUCAGCCCUCGCAGAGCAGGAAACCUUGAUUUCUACAGAGGCUGUUUCCUCCCAGCCUUGUGCAAGGCCCACUGCAGAGACAAAAUUAUGCUGGCAAAAGUGUGAAUGCCAAGGCCACACUGGACUCCGUCCCUGGGAUUUGCUGGUAGAAGAAAGGGAAUCAGCGCUGACUGAGCUCCUACUAUGUGCCCUUCCUGGGCCUGGCACUGGGAUCACAGGAUGAAUGAAUAAGGCAUAUUUCCUGCCCUGAGGAGGCGUCUAUAGGGGAAGUCGGAAUUAAGGCACCUCCAGAAUUCUGAGGUCAAGGGAAUGUCAACAGAGCUGUGAACAAAAUGCCCAAAGCCAUGAAAAUCUACAGAGAGAGACUUGAAGGGGAAGAAUGGGGUAGGAGCUGGUGCUGAGGAUGAGAAGGGAGAAUUCACCUGGUGGAGAACUGAUAGGCCAGGCUGAGGUCAGGAUGGUGGAGGAGGUGGUGGAGGUGAUGAGGUACCAGAGCAACCUUGAAGAAAGGUGAGAGGCAGGAGACCGCCAAAGGCAAACUUGGAACACCUGGUGACUCCGGCUAACUCCAUGUGGUGUCCUUGAGGACUUUUAUGAUACUGCUACCACUGCUAAUGGUAAUAAAAGUUACUAUUUAAUGUGUUUACUAUGUGCUGGGUGUGCAAAUAUUGUGGAAAGAGUGAACAUAUGUGCAGAAUGCUUAAUAAACGUGAUCUCUUUUUAUCUU